rnacentral:rRNA from 1 species
AUUGAACGCUGGCGGCAGGCCUAACACAUGCAAGUCGAGCGGGGUUUUCGGACCUAGCGGCGGACGGGUGAGUAAUGCGUAGGAAGCUGCCCGAUAGAGGGGGAUACCAGUUGGAAACGACUGUUAAUACCGCAUAAUGUCUACGGACCAAAGUGUGGGACCUUCGGGCCACAUGCUAUCGGAUGCGCCUACGUGGGAUUAGCUAGUUGGUGAGGUAAUGGCUCACCAAGGCGACGAUCUCUAGCUGGUUUGCGAGGAUGAUCAGCCACACUGGAAAUGAGACACGGUCCAGACUCCUACGGGAGGCAGCAGUGGGGAAUAUUGGACAAUGGGCGCAAGCCUGAUCCAGCCAUGCCGCGUGUGUGAAGAAGGCCUUCGGGUUGUAAAGCACUUUCAGCGAGGAGGAAGGGUGGUGUGUUAAUAGCACAUCAUUUUGACGUUACUCGCAGAAGAAGCACCGGCUAACUCUGUGCCAGCCGCCGCCGUAAGAC